AUUUUGGGAAAAGGUUUCACAGACUUACACAAGUGAACAACACUUGCAAUAAAAAUAAAAAAAUCCCGCGAGGCCGACAACAACUUUCUCUGCAGGACAAAACGCAAAAGUGUUGCUGCUGACUUUGCAGAUUGCACUGUAUAAGUAAAAUAACAAGUGUCAAAUCUCAACUCAGCUUGUCCUUUUGUUUUGAGGCUAGUAACUGGGGAUGAUGGCUACGGUAACUGCGAGCAAUACCGCAAGUGGAUGGACCUUGAGCAGCAGCAGCAGGUUACUCAGGAACGCUACUCUCCCCGUCCAACUACACCUGCAUCAAGUUCAAGCCAGUCAUAUUGUAGCCUCCGCUAAUGCAAAGCAAGCGAAUUUGUCUGCCUCAAGGAUCCAAAGAGUUGAGCUUCCGGUUUAUGAUGACACUUCCAAGGGCCGCCAAGCUUAUCAUAUUAGCCACUUUUUAAGCCACCCAUCUGGGAUCCAAGCAAUAUUAAACACUAGUGCCUUGCAAAACUUUCAGUAUCUUGACACCAAUGCAUACAGGUGCACACUUCCAAAACUUGCCUUCUUCAACUUUGAAGCAACACCUGUACUUGACUUGCGAGUGAUCCCCACAAAAGAAGAUUGCACUGUGGAGUUAUUUUCUUGCAAGUUCAAGGGUUCAAAAGUUGUGGAACGCCAAAAUGACUAUUUUUCAGAUCAUGACAGUAAUCUGAAAAUUACAUUUUGGUUGCACCCAUUGACAAAGCAUUGUUCUCUAAUAUCAACAUGCCAUGCUUCUCCUGGUUCUUGUGUGGUCCUGAGAUGCUGCCACAUUGACAAUGUAUAAGAAAUUGUGAAAUUGUCUUCCAAAGUCAUUCAAGUUUUGAUAAGGAGGAGAAAGAGGUGGAGGGAAGGAAAGUUGAGAGAGGAGAUAGGAGUGAGCUUUUUUCUCUUUCUACCAUGUGCUUGGUAGAUAAGAUGGAAAAGUGGAUAGAUAGCAAAACAUUUUUCCAUUUAUGGCACAUUUGGUUCAUAGAAUGGAAUAGAAGGGGGAUGACAUCGCAACAAUUUUCUCUUUUCACUUUAGUCUCCUACCAAGUGAAGGCUUAUUGUUGUUGCAUGACAAAAGUCUCAUGCAUGGGUUGAGUUCAAUUUUCACUUAAAGUGACAGUCGACAAGGGAGGACCUGAUCAACUGUUUGAGCUUUAUAGUAGUGAAUCUUGAUGGAUGUAUUCAGUUCACUGAGCUUUAUAGUAGUGAUAGAUUGGGUUUUUUCAUUCUCCCCUAUGCAGCCAUGCUCUAGUUCUAUCUGCCAAUAUGAAAAGUUUGGUCUAGAUCCAGCUUCUCGACCACAGAGGAAGCAGACUACGUCAAAUACACCCGCUUCUUCAACUUGCACUUCUUCGGUUCAGUUUUAAUGGAAUUUCAAAGUAUUCAGGGUGUUGGUGUCACCAUGAUUUUGGGGCCUUUCACCAGAUACUUUUACUUCACAAGUUAGCUCUUAUCCCAUUAAGUUGGGAUGGGGGGCUCAUAUGAGUCGAGUUAUAUUUUUAUUUCUGAAAGUUCGAUUCUGGUCAUAUUUUUGAGAACAGCAGCAUGAUAAUAUGAUUGUGUUCCUGUUUUAAACAUGUUAGUGUGCUGAAAUUAUUUGCUUGUACAUAUGUUUAUCUCAUCUUUUCUCUGCCUGGUUUAGUCUUUUUUACUUUGAUAACAUACAAAUGAUGCUGACCUUUGUAAACAGAUUUACACACGACCAUUUACUUCACUGCCAAUUUCAGCUGUUGAGCGUCCAGGAAAUCUAAUGAUGCAGGCUCUCGUGGAUGGACUUGUUCCUUCGCUUCUUCAGCAGCUAGUGCAAGAUUACAACAACUGGGUUCAUCAGCAACUUCAAAAUUCUUGAUGAAUUUGGCAACUAAACCUUUGACGGACCUGUCAACUGUUUUUUCUUCUUUGGGAUUUGGAUCAAUGAUGCCAUAAAAGAUGUGAUUUGUUUUAAUCAUCUUAAAGGUCUUUUUCUGUUUGUAAUAAUUAUUUACAUAGAUAAACAGGCAAAAGGCAAGCAGGACACUGAUAACUGUCUGCUGUAUUCAGAAAAUGGCCUAACGUCAUUCCAUCCACUUCA